UGGUUUAGAUUGAGAUGACAAGAUCAGUAUGACAUUGUCUCUUGUCUUGACUCGAGUCAUAUGCAAAACCUUUGUUAUGAUUUAAAUAUCUAAUUUUGUGGUGUGAUUUUUUAGUUUCCAUGUUUCCGAUCUAACUCUUUCAACAAUUUGUGCAUGAAAUCGCCUGUAACUUUUUCUUGGGUUAGAUUUUUUCUCAUUGAGUUCGUACAAUGUUUUUCAACCAUUAGGAGUUAGGACUAAGGGAAUUGACAGGGCUGUGGAUCUCAUAAAUCAUUUCAAAUUACUACCCCACGAUGAGUUUUUCAGCAACAUCGUGGGAGACAGAAAUUAGAACAGGAGAUAAUAUGCAGUUGGAUCAACUUAUUCAAACUCCAUCCUUCUCAAGAGAUACAACUGCUCGUAUACAGCCAUUUGACUUAGAUAUUCUAUAGGAAACCUUUCAACUUAAGGAAACAGGUCCCAUUGAUUUGCCUCUAAUGAGAAACUUCUUGCUCUGAACAUCAUUUUUCCAUUGCAUAAUUGUUCUGUGUACCUGAUAAACUAUUGAUCGUGUCAUCUUAUUAACACGGUGAGAAGGGAUCUGCCACCAUUACUGGAAAAUCAAAAAGUGAGUCUGAAGAAAAGGAGAAAAGGCCUAACAAGCAUAAGAACAGGGACAAAGAGAAGGACAAGGAGCAUAAGAAGCACAAGCAUCGUCAUAAAGACCGAAUCAACAAGACAAGGGGGAAAAAAGAAAGAAAGAAAGAUAAAAGUGGGCAUCAAGUUUCCAGUGCUGAUCAUGGCAAGAAACAACAUGAAAAGAAAAGGAAGCAUGAUGGAGAUGAAGAUCUUAUUGAUGUAUGCAAACGCGAGAUAAGUAAGCGUAGGAGCCCAAAGAUUAAUGAAUUGGGCGCAAUAAAGGUAACUGGCUAAAUGGUCACAUACGAAGAAAGCCUAAGAAGGGAGGACUGGUGACUAUUGCUUAUAAAUCUUGAUAGAAAUGAAGAACUACUAUAAUAUGAUAAUACAACAACAACAACAACAAUUUAGU